rnacentral:rRNA from 1 species
GGUUAAGCGAAUAAGCGUACACGGUGGAUGCCUAGGCAAUCAGAGGCGAUGAAGGACGUGCUAAUCUGCGAAAAGCGUCGGUAAGGUGAUAUGAACCGUUAUACCCGACGAUAUCCGAAUGGGGAAACCCAGUAUCCAAUGGAUACUAUCAUUAACUGAAUCCAUAGGUUAAUGAGGCGAACCGGGAGAACUGAAACAUCUCAGUACCCCGAGGAAAAGAAAUCAACCGAGAUUCCCCUAGUAGCGGCGAGCGAACGGGGAGCAGCCCAGAGUCUUAAUCAAUAGCAGUGUCAGGAGAACGGUCUGGAAAGUCCGGCAGUAAAGGGUGAUAGCCCCGUAUCUGAAGAUGCUGUUAUUGUGAACUCGACGAGUAGGGCGGGACACGUGUUAUCCUGUCUGAAUAUGGGGGGACCAUCCUCCAAGGCUAAAUACUCCUGAUUGACCGAUAGUGAACCAGUACCGUGAGGGAAAGGCGAAAAGAACCCCGGCGAGGGGAGUGAAAAAGAACCUGAAACCGUGUACGUACAAGCAGUAGGAGCCUCUUUAUGGGGUGACUGCGUACCUUUUGUAUAAUGGGUCAGCGACUUAUAUUCUGUAGCAAGGUUAACCGCAUAGGGGAGCCGUAGGGAAACCGAGUCUUAACUGGGCGAAUGAGUUGCAGGGUAUAGACCCGAAACCCGGUGAUCUAUCCAUGGGCAGGUUGAAGGUUGGGUAACACUAACUGGAGGACCGAACCGACUAAUGUUGAAAAAUUAGCGGAUGACUUGUGGAUGGGGGUGAAAGGCCAAUCAAACCGGGAGAUAGCUGGUUCUCCCCGAAAGCUAUUUAGGUAGCGCCUCGUGAACUCAUCUUCGGGGGUAGAGCACUGUUUCGACUAGGGGGUCAUCCCGACUUACCAACUCGAUGCAAACUGCGAAUACCGAAGAAUGUUAUCACGGGAGACACACGGCGGGUGCUAACGUCCGUCGUGAAGAGGGAAACAACCCAGACCGCCAGCUAAGGUCCCAAAGUCAUGGUUAAGUGGGAAACGAAGUGGGAAGGCUCAGACAGCCAGGAUGUUGGCUUAGAAGCAGCCAUCAUUUAAAGAAAGCGUAAUAGCUCACUGGUCGAGUCGGCCCGCGCGGAAGAUGUAACGGGGCUAAACCAUGCACCGAAGCUGCGGCAGCGACACGUAGUGUUGUUGGGUAGGGGAGCGUUCUGUAAGCCUGCGAAGGUGUACUGUGAGGUAUGCUGGAGGUAUCAGAAGUGCGAAUGCUGACAUAAGUAACGAUAAUGCGGGUGAAAAACCCGCACGCCGGAAGACCAAGGGUUCCUGUCCAACGUUAAUCGGGGCAGGGUGAGUCGACCCCUAAGGCGAGGCUGAAAAGCGUAGUCGAUGGGAAACGGGUUAAUAUUCCCGUACUGGUGGUAACUGCGAUGGGGGAACGGAGAAGGCUAGGUUGUCCGGGCGACGGUCGUCCCGGUUCAAGCAGGUAGGCAGAGUGAUUAGGCAAAUCCGGUCACUUAAUGCUGAGAUGUGAUGACGAACCACUAAGGUGGUGAAGCAAUUGAUGCCCCGCUUCCAGGAAAAGCCUCUAAGCUUCAGGUUACCAACAAUCGUACCCCAAACCGACACAGGUGGUCAGGUAGAGAAUACUCAGGCGCUUGAGAGAACUCGGGUGAAGGAACUAGGCAAAAUGGUGCCGUAACUUCGGGAGAAGGCACGCUGGCGGUAGGUAAAGUCCCUCGCGGACGGCGCUGAAGCCAGUCGAAGAUACCAGCUGGCUGCAACUGUUUAUUAAAAACACAGCACUGUGCAAACACGAAAGUGGACGUAUACGGUGUGACGCCUGCCCGGUGCUGGAAGGUUAAUUGAUGGGGUUAGCGUAAGCGAAGCUCCUGAUCGAAGCCCCAGUAAACGGCGGCCGUAACUAUAACGGUCCUAAGGUAGCGAAAUUCCUUGUCGGGUAAGUUCCGACCUGCACGAAUGGCGUAAUGAUGGCCAGGCUGUCUCCACCCGAGACUCAGUGAAAUUGAACUCGCUGUGAAGAUGCAGUGUACCCGCGGCAAGACGGAAAGACCCCGUGAACCUUUACUAUAGCUUGACACUGAACAUUGAGCCUUGAUGUGUAGGAUAGGUGGGAGGCUUUGAAGUGUGGACGCCAGUCUGCAUGGAGCCAACCUUGAAAUACCACCCUUUAACGUUUGAUGUUCUAACCUAGGCCCAUAAACUGGGUCGGGGACCGUGUCUGGUGGGUAGUUUGACUGGGGCGGUCUCCUCCUAAAGAGUAACGGAGGAGCACGAAGGUUGGCUAAGCAUGGUCGGACAUCAUGCGGUUAGUGCAAAGGCAUAAGCCAGCUUGACUGCGAGAGUGACGGCUCGAGCAGGUACGAAAGUAGGUCUUAGUGAUCCGGUGGUUCUGAAUGGAAGGGCCAUCGCUCAACGGAUAAAAGGUACUCCGGGGAUAACAGGCUGAUACCGCCCAAGAGUUCAUAUCGACGGCGGUGUUUGGCACCUCGAUGUCGGCUCAUCACAUCCUGGGGCUGAAGUAGGUCCCAAGGGUAUGGCUGUUCGCCAUUUAAAGUGGUACGCGAGCUGGGUUUAGAACGUCGUGAGACAGUUCGGUCCCUAUCUGCCGUGGGCGUUGGAAGAUUGAGAGGGGUUGCUCCUAGUACGAGAGGACCGGAGUGAACGCACCACUGGUGUUCGGGUUGUCAUGCCAAUGGCAUUGCCCGGUAGCUAAGUGCGGAAGAGAUAACCGCUGAAAGCAUCUAAGCGGGAAACUUGCCUCGAGAUGAGUCUUCCCUGUCGCUUUAAGCGACCUAAAGGAACGUUUAAGACUAAGACGUUGAUAGGCUGGGUGUGUAAGCGUAGCGAUACGUUGAGCUAACCAGUACUAAUGAACCGUGAGGCUUAACCUG